GAACACUGGGGUGCAUGUGUCUUUUUGAAUUAGAAUUUUCUCCAGAUAUAUGCCCAGGAAUGGGAUUGCUGGAUCAUAUGGGACAGGAUCACAGGCCUCAGAAAAUGUUGUUCCGAGGAGACUAGAAAGCCAGAAGGAAGCGAAGGGAGGCACUCCCUACCCCACACAGUUCUCCCACUGUUGUCUAUCUGUAGGAGUAAUACUAAUGCCUGUAAUAUUUCAUCCUGCUGCAUGAGGCUGGGAUGUUCCCAUCAGAUGAGUGAUACUGGAGAAGGAGCUUUCUGUUCUCCACGCACAGAUGGGCAUGUCACUCACAUCCUUCACAAUCCAGAAGUUCAAUCCCUGGUCUGGGAAGAUCCCACAUGCUGUGGAGCAACUAAGCCUGAGACCAACUACUGAGACUGCCCUCUAGAGGCCACAAGCUGCAACUUCUGGGCCCGCCGGCCGCAGUUACUGAAACCUGCUUGCCUAGAGCUCAUGCUGCACAAGAGAAGCCACUGAAAUGAGAAGACUGAGCACCACAAUUGAGAGUUGCCUGCACACAGCAAUGAAGAUGCAACACAGCUGAAAACAGAGAAAAGAAAAUCUAAAGGUACUGGAAGCCUUAGAAAGAAUUCCCAAAUACAGUAGACUGACC
ensembl:lncRNA